rnacentral:lncRNA from 1 species
UUUAGGAUUUCGUUUAGAAGUCGAGUCUAAUUAAGUUGUGGAAAAUGUAUGCAUGGUAGAAGGUCAUUAAGGGAUAAGUUAACCCCAUUUGAUCCUGAGAUUGACAGAACUUUUCAUCACAACCUGCGAAUUGUAAACCAACCGUCGAUCUCUACAAUGGGUGAACAUAUUAGAACCCUAAAUGAAUUGUUUGCACCCGCAUCCGCUAGUCCCCCUACCUGCAUAGUAUUACCAAUAAAUAAUGCAGCCCAAUUUGAAAUUCGGGCUGCAACAAUAAAUAUGUUACCCAAGUUUCAUGGGUUCGAGAGUGAACAACCCUAUAUUCAUCUAAACAAAUUUUUGACAAUCUGUCAAACAUUUAGAAAUCAAAA